GACGAGGGUCCCUAGCGUUGUUCGGAAUCAUUGGGCGUAAAGGGCGCGUAGGCGGCCUGAUAAGUAGGGGGUGAAAUCCUGCGGCUUAACCGCAGGGCUGCCUUCUAAACUGACAGGCUCGAGCACAGUAGAGGCAGGUGGAAUUCCCGGUGUAGCGGUGGAAUGCGUAGAGAUCGGGAAGAACAUCAGUGGCGAAGGCGGCCUGCUGGGCUGUUGCUGACGCUGAGGCGCGACAGCGUGGGGAGCAAACAGG
rnacentral:rRNA from 1 species